GUUGAGGUCGAAAAGGUUUUGGGGGCCUGGUUAACCACUCAUUUGGAGGCUUAUCGGAGCCUGAAAAUACACAGUCUGAAGCUUCAUUCAGCUCCAUGGGCAGUGAUUUUGUCCCCAUAGCCAAGAGAGUAACGGGCUCUGCUUUCUUAGCCAAAGUUUGUCGUUGUUUGGCAAAACCUUUUACAGCAAAUUCACGAAGCUGUCGGCUAGUCAAAGUGUUUGGACAAGCUAAGACGCCAAGGUGAUGACUGGUGGUAGGGUGGAGGUUCUGGACGAACAGCGUUUUGAAGUUCAAGUCCUCCUCCAUUUCUGGUUCAUUUCGGAAACCAAAGUAAGCUUCGCGUAAGCGGUUGUAAUAUUGUUGGGGAGAUUCUGAUCUCCCUUGUUUAAUAGACAGAGCAGCAGAGAGGCCUGUCUGGGUCAAAUAGUCAGAAAACUCUUCAAUUAAUGCUUGGCAGAGCAAGUCAUAAUUAUUUCUGACAUGAAAAGGCUGUCUUUCAAGGAAACUGCUAACCUCUCGACUUGACGUCGCCUUAAUAAGGUAGAUUUUGUCAUCAAUGGUUGCACCUAGAAAUUUCCUCAGGUAAAAGUCAAUGUCUUUCAAGUAGGUGCAGGUGUCAAUAGCAGCUUGGUGCUCAGGUUCAAAGCGUGCUAUGUUGCGAGCAAUUUUGUCAAGAUCCCUGUCUGAGGGAGAUGGUAAGAAGCCAUCAUGAGGAGGAGAGUAGGACUCUUGGUUUAAGGAUGACCUCUCAGGGUCAAGCAGGGUCCUGUCAUGAUGCUGAGAGAGAUACUUAAGAGUUGGUUUGGAAGGAAGUGAUGGCGCUCUCUCAGGAGGCUGAUCACCUGUCAUUUCUUCAAGAAACGUUUGCUCCAUGCGUUCUCUUUGGGCUCGACCUGACUGGAGGGAGCAUUGUAACUCUCUUUGGGCAUCUUCAAGUUCUUUGUCUGUCUUUUCUUGCCGUUCUUGACAAAGAAUUAACUGUCUUUGAGCUAUCUGGAGCUGGUGCUGUAAGGUAGAAGUUUGCUUCUCCUUAACUUCAAGAGCUUCAGCACGCACUUUGACCAGUGCUUUCAAAGUUUUUACAUCUUCUGUUGCUUGCUCUAGUAGGGAUUCUGACUGUAUCAGAUCCUCUGUGGUCUUAGCAAGCUGCUUAUUCGUGUCAUCAAGUUCUUUCUCCUUUUUGUAAAGGGUUUCAUUAAGUCUUUCAAUCUUGUCUUUAAGAUCAAGAUUUUCUUCAUGACUUAUCAGUGAGGGAAGCUUUGACGCUUCACAUCUGACACUGUGUUUUCCUAAAACACUUAGAGACUUCUUAGUCUCUUCUAGCGUCUUUUUCAGAGCGCUGUUUUCGUCUUUUUGCGCCUUUAUCUUUGCUAAAGCGCAUUCCAGCAAGUAGUCUUUAUACUCAAGCUGAGAAGACAUCAUGACAGACAUGCAUCUAGUGAGCUCUUUGUCUCGAAGUGUCGUGGUUAAGGCUGUUUCCAGUAAGUCAGCCAUUUCAUCCUCCGGAUUGGAGGGUUUGGCCUUUUGAAUCUUAGUCAUGUACUGAGGUAUCAGCUGACUAGUCAAGUUUGCCAACACUGUGGGUAUGUCCCUCAGGGGGUCUCCCUGGCUGGACUCUUUUGUGUUAGGCAUGUUUGGUUUUGGUAAAGAGGUGCAGCUGGUUGGUUGAUGAGUUUGAGUUGACUUAAAAUAAAAGGAAGAAGCAAAAUAUCAAAUUAAGUGGGUUAAUCGACUUAAUUUAUCAGUGCUUGAUAAAGAGGAAGAGCCUAUCUGAGUAGAUAUCUAAUGGAGAGAAAAAUAACAUAAAGUUAAAUUCAUUUCAAUGAAAAUUGAAAACAAAAGGUGAAAUAAUGUUAAAUUAAAUUUAACAUCAGAUACAGAACCAUUGAAUAAAGGGUUCAGUUUGUCUCCGUGUUGCAGAGAUCAGCAAAGCUUAAAUAAACUGCCUGGUGCAGUUGGAUGAAUUGGCAAAAUCGAUGAAAUUGUCAAUUUAAGGAAUUAACUCUGAAGUUAAUUCACAAAUUGCAAUAAAUCCAAAGGUUCGAAUACCAAAUCUAUCUGGAAUGUUAAAAGAAAUUUGAAAUAUUAAUUAAUUUGUUCGUUAAUUAAUUAAUCUUAUGAGUCGGGUUAAUACAUUCAUGUAUUAUAGGGAACAGUAAAACUGCUCACUGGUGUGAUAAGUAACAACAGAUCAGGUGAUUGAUUCAAGGAGUUACUUCAUCAAUACAUCAAAAUCAAUGAUCAGUGAUUUAGAAUAAGCACAUCAAACUUCAUCAACCAAGUCAAUCACUUGAGUUAUGUCUGUAGAGUGUUACACACUGACUACAGGGAGGCAGUACAGCUGGCUGAUACUGCAGGCAGAUAAUAGCAGUGUUAGCUCAAUACCAAAAACAACCAUGUGGGGCAGUAUGGAGUUGGGGUAACUGCACAAGCUCAACACAAGUGGAGAAGAAGAAGAGAAGAGGAAACAGUCAUCCAACUAGCCUCUUGUGGCUGUGAGGAGUUGGGAAGUCUGAAGGAAGGGGCCUUUAGACUCUGCCUCCUUGAAGGGCCUUAUCUGCUUAAGGCCAAAAGGUCAGUCUCUCCACUGACAACAAAGGGUUAACAUUUCACAGCAGGCUGCGUCUGCACCCUCAAACAUAGAGCUUUACACCAUCUGCUCAGGCAGAUUGGUUCAAUAAAAUCAUUUACAGGAACAAGAAUCAAAGUGACAAAUUCUUAAACAGCAGAUUCAACUGCAGACUUUAAAAUCACAAAUGCGGCGAUUUGUGAUCACAAAUUUUGUCUGAAUUCAUUCAAACAACAACCUCCCACUGUUACAGUGGUUUCCUGUGACAGGUAGUUAAUCUGUCAGGGGAAAGGAGGAAAUCUGAAUCCCAUAUAGUUACUAGAACUUCGUAGCAGACUAUAGAGACAAGAAUCAAAGUGACAAAUCCCUCAACAGCAGAUUCAACUGCAGACUUUAAAAUCACAAAUGCGGCGAUUUGUGAACACAAAUUUUGUCUGAAUUCAAUCAAACAACAACCUCCCACUGUUACAGUGGUUUCCUGUGACAGGUAGCUAAUCUGUCAGGGGAAAGGAGGAAAUCUGAAUCCCAUAUAGUUACUAGAACCUCGUAGCAGACUACAGAGACUUCAGGGGCUUGAAACCACAGCUCGGAGCAUCGCGAACACUGGGUUCAGCCAAAGGCCUUAAAUACAAGCGUACGGCGACGCCACAAUCGUGCACAUAAAUAUUGGACAGUCUAGACAGAGCAGAGGAGUCAGUCUCACUGCUACUCAGAACAACAUUUCACGCUGUCCAGCUCAAACACAGACUACAGGCAUGUAGUACAAGAGUGUGUGAAACACAGAGCAUAAAGGUUUUAUGCAUAGAUCAUGAAAACAUCAGAACUUAGUCAAGCAACUUCAGCAAGCAUAGCAUUGAUUGUGAUUAAGUCUAAAAUAGCCUGGAAAUAAGUUUCUCGCAUCAAUUUGGAAGGCUAAGUUUUAGGUUGUCUGUUAGUAUCCAGAAGUUUUGUUUGAAACGCCUCACGCAGGGGCACCAAAAUAUAUGUAGUGAUUUGAAAUGAGCCUCAUACGGUCGCACCAAAAUAUAUGUAGCGAUUUGAAAUGAGCCUCACAAGGCCGCACCAAAAUAAUACUUGGCGAUUGGAAUUUAUAAUAAAUGUCUGAAGAUUAAUAAUCUCAAAUUAUGACAUUUAUGCACUCGUUGAAAGGGGCACCACCCACCCUUAAUGGUGGGAAAAUAAAGAAAACAAAAGUUUAAUUCAGAAAUCAAACAUCAAGUCAGUUUUAAUUAAUCAGUCUUAAUUAAUCAGUCUUAAUUAAUCAGUCUCAUAUCUUAAGUUGAAAUUCUAAUUUCAGGGACUCCACUUCUGGAAGAACACUAACAGACAGGAACUUAGAAAAAUAAUGAUCUGUUUAUUACAGGAUAAAUGAUGGUACAACACACAUGCAAUAAAUGAUGAUAAGAUAAUGAAGAUAAAUAAUAAUAGGUGAAUAAAUCAAGAUUCUGAGUCAGGCUAGGAGCACUAAAGUUAAUGAUAAUGAGUGAAUAUGCGCUAACAUAUUAACCUACACUAACUUUAGUGUCGAGAUAAACUCGGAUGUGGAUUUGGAGGAAUCUAAGAUUACCAGAAUAAGAGGAUAUCUGAGUUGAACGCAGGAGACAGCACCAGCCCUCUUUAGAGCUCUGGAGGUUUGCAUACUUAAGUGAGACUGGUCCUUGGAGAAGAUGGAGCAGGUUCCGAAGGUCCGGGCUACUGGCGGUUCGAGCGGUUCAGCUCAGAAGACGACUGAAGUCAGCCGAAGGAUGAGCCCGGAGUUGCAGCACUCAGGCCCGAAGCAAAAACCAGCGCCUGUGGAUCCUGUGGAUGCUCGUUUGGGUACUUCUUUAGUCUCACUCAAAAACUCUGGCACAGAGGAUGACCUGGGCCUGUUGGAUUGCGUUCGGAGGUGACUUUGAAAUCACGCAGAAAACUCAGAAAAACGAGGCUCGAAGAGCAGAGAAAACUUUCAAAAAUGGCUUCGCGAAAUUAAAGAAAAUCAAUCAAAGGCUUAAUCUUGAAUUGCUAUGUGCACAAAAAGUUGAAGUUUCAAAACUUGAACUAAGACGAUGUUAAAGAAAAAUCAACGUGAAUCAACACGUGGCGUAAAACUUAGAAGACUAAGAAAAAGUUCUAAGAGAGAACAAAGAAAAGGAGGACCACAGAAGGGUGUGGACAGAAGAGAAGGGCCCAAGAGUAAGGGGCCUAAGAGCCGGGGACAAGAGAGUCAGCAGAAGAGCAGAAGCAUAAGAGAGAUAAAAGCAUAAGAGAGAGUAAGAGAGUGAGCAACCCCACUCCACUGGUUUUAUCUUCUCACACUGGGAGUGUCUGAGGAGAAAGAGGAGGGGUCAUCGGGUCUCUGAUUAUUUGAUCUAACUUAUUCUUUUGGCUGGUAAAAGAGUCAGAUCUGAUACUCACUCACUAUGAUUAAUAUCAUUGAAUGCUUGGUUUCAUGAUAAAUAAUUUGAUACUAAACACAUAUGAAUGAAGUGUAGGAUCACAUCAAACAUUCUCAUUAUGUUUUAAGUAUCACAUUGAACAUGCUAAAUUACUCUGAAAUGAAACAGAUAGUAACACAUAGAAACUGUGAACAACAAAAGAGUAAACACAUGUGAAUGAACGUCAUCAUGAUUAAUAAUGGAUUCUAAAUACUCACAUUCAGAUUAUUCAGUGACAUUAUAACCACCUAAUGGUUAAGAUACUAAAUAAACGAUUAAAAUAUAGAACAAACAUUUCUAAACCAUUUCUGUUAAUUAGAGCUAAGUUAUGAGUCACAAUCAAUAAAUUUAACUCUUAAAAGUUCAUGAAACAGUCUGAAAAGCUGUUGGUCUAAAGAACUAAAGAAUAAGGAUUUAUUCUGUCAGAUAAGAUAACUUGGCUUCUGAAGCACAUAGAAAAACGGGAAACAUCUCAUUUUAACACAAAUUUCAUGAUUAGACAGAUUAGUACAUUGCUGAAUGUAUAAGAUGUCAGGAUCAGUCAUUUGUAUUCUUUCACCAAAGGAAUGUAGUCUUUAUCAGUGUAUGGUCGAGCAGGGUUUUACGACCGAGGUCUGGAGGUCAGUGUCCCCCCCUUUUCCUAGGGUCCGUAUGUUCACACACUUUAAGACGCUAAAUCUCAAAUGGGAGAUCUGGGUUGAGGUUAAUGUUUAUUUAGAUGGUCAGCAAAUGGAGUCAGUUUGAAAGGUAAUAAAAACUCUGUCUCUGUUCUCCGAAUUGACCAAUCGUGAAGAGUCGGAGGUUUAGUCAACCUCCGGUUGGGUCACUUAUUUAACCUGAAAGGGCAAACACGUCUGGAAAGAUUUAUAUCCUGUUUCCUGGGACCAGAUAAGGAAACUUUCCUGUAAGGAAUGUGUGGGUUUCACAUCCAGGGUUGUCUUGAUUGCUACACGUUAAACCUUACCAUAGCCCCAUAACCUAAUACCCGGGUAUUACUUUUAGGAAGCCUGAACACUCCAAAUGUUUUUUUUUUCAUUUUUCAUUUUUUUUGGUCUAACUAACUCCAAAAGGUUGGAAAA
rnacentral:lncRNA from 1 species